rnacentral:rRNA from 1 species
GACGAACGCUGGCGGCGUGCUUAACACAUGCAAGUCGAACGAUGAACUACCAGCUUGCUGGUGGGGAUUAGUGGCGAACGGGUGAGUAACACGUGAGUAACCUGCCCUGGACUCUGGGAUAACCCCGAGAAAUCGGAGCUAAUACCGGAUAGGACCUUUCCCUGCAUGGGGUUUGGUGGAAAGUUUUUCGGUCUGGGAUGGACUCGCGGCCUAUCAGCUUGUUGGUGAGGUAAUGGCUCACCAAGGCGUCGACGGGUAGCCGGCCUGAGAGGGUGACCGGCCACACUGGGACUGAGACACGGCCUAGACUCCUACGGGAGGCAGCAGUGGGGAAUAUUGCACAAUGGGCGCAAGCCUGAUGCAGCAACGCCGCGUGCGGGAUGACGGCCUUCGGGUUGUAAACCGCUUUUAGUAGGGAAGAAGGGCUUCGGCUUGACGGUACCUGCAGAAAAAGGACCGGCUAACUACGUGCCAGCCGCCGCGGUAAUAC